AGAUGCUGCUCCCUCUGCUUCUUUAAUGCAUGGCUGGAUCAAAUGGAUUAUAUGCUGAAGGAUCUCUAGAGUGGUGAGCUGUGAAGAAAAUGUCUUUAACAUGACUGUCAGAAGGCAGGGUAAAAGAUGAGCCCAGUUUUACUGAAAUGAGCUGAGCUCACUUGUUGACUUGAGCUGUCCUGAUGAGUGCUCUGGGCUUUGGUACCAUCCAGCAGAAGUUGGGUUCUCAAAGACUAAAAGCCUGUAAUGAUCCAGACCCUGAUGCCCCUACAGUCCAAACCAGCGAGGAAGUUUCUGAUGAUGACUGCAGAGUUGGAAAAUGGAUGCAAGUUGGUGUUUGUUUUUGCAGCAAGGCAGAAGCUGGAAGUAACCUCUGGCAGUCAUCUGGUGCCACCCACCCCUCCUCAAGCUGGACCACCAUGAGCUACCCAGGACCAUCUUCAGAGGUUUGAGUACCUCCAAUGCUGGAGACUCCACAGCUCUCUCUAGGCAACCUGUGCCAGUGCUCAAAUCAGCUUGACAUCAAUGAAGUGUUCCCUGCUUUUCAGAGGGAGCCUUCUGUGUUUCAGGGUGUGCCCACUGCUCCAGUGCUGGGCACCACAGGACAGAGCCUGGCUCCAUCCUCUUUGCACUGCCCACUGGGUGUUUAAGUGCUUUGAUGAGAUCCUGCCCAAGCCUUCCCUUCUCUGCAUUGUCCUUCCAGGAGGUAUCAGGGUGGCUGAAGUCCCCUAUGAAGACCAGGGCCUGAGACUCAAAACCUGGGUUUAGACACAGGUACUGAUGAUGUCCUCCAGACUCUGUGGAACAGGUAUACAUCCAUCUGGUGUUCUUGUCAACCACAGCUCUUCAGAACUGAGCACAAUAAGAAUGACAACUUUAGGGAGAAUAGCUGCCACUCCUCUACUUCUUUCUGUAGUUCUUUUUACUUACUAUACACUGGUUAUUUGUUGGUUUCUAAUUCCGCUUAUUUGUUGUAAUUUUCCCUGUGCAGGAGGGAUGAGGAGGACCAGAAUUUCAUCACCAUCUUCUCAUUUUGCAUCACACUUCAGUAUCUUAUAAUCAAACUGCUUUUCAUCCUGUAUGGGCUCUUGCCUACUUCAGAAAGAGAACUCAAACGUCAUGGAAGGACUCCUACACUGCAUUAUCAAGGUUCCUGUGCUACUUUUAAAUUUCAGCACCAACACAGCCAGUUGUCUCACAGAUUGUCUCUAUGUUCUAUAACUAAUUAAGCAAAUUGUGUAGUAGCGAUUACAAUCAGGAUAACUGAUAGUCUUGACAGGAGAGAUGCAGGGGUCAGGAAUGAGAAGGGUAAAAGUAGUUGAAUUUUAUAUUCCAGUACCAUUACUCCUAACUCUAAUAGCCAUUGACUAGACUCUGGUACCCAAACAGGAGAUUUGCCUUCAUCCCCGAAGGAGGAAAAACCAGGAAACUUUUAUAUUUAAAAAAACCACCCAAAACAGCCCUAUGAAAGUUCUCUUUGCAGUCAUUUAGAAAGAUUCUGUUUCUAAGCUCUUGCAUUACAUGUGGGUUUAACAAUUUGUGCUGCUCCAAAAUGCUCCAGAUUCAUGCUGGAAUUAACACAGAAGAGCCAUUUUGAAGUACCACUACUUCUGGGAGGCUGUGACCCUGAACCUGGAGUCUCUUCUGUGAAGAAAAGCCUUGAAAACACUCAUUCAAAAAUGUCUUUAGUCAGUUUUUAUGAUCUCUCAGGUUUUCUUAUGAGAGGUCUAUAACCUUCCUGUCUUUAUUAUGGCUUUGCAGAGACUGAACUAGACUUGACUGUAACCUUCACACACAGCAAAAGAUAUUUACUGAUCCAUACUGAGAAGAAGGGGACAGUAUUUUCCUGAAGAAACAAUAUUCCUGUAGUCCAAUGUACGGACAAAAGAUGUGUACUAUUUAUGCAUGAGAACAUAAUUUGUUAAUAGUGUCAAGUUAGUUACUGACAGUGCACAGGAAGCAGCCUGAAUGACUUUUUCCAGUCAGGCAGGAAUUUAAACAGUCAAUAAAUUAUUCACAUUUUGUCAUGCAAACUGUGGGCAGCGUAACAGCCUGACAGCAACACAAAAAAAAAAUGAAUGAAGUAGAAUUAUUUUUUCAGUUGAAUUGCCUGUAUCUUCAACUGACUUAAUUUUAAAUGUCUUCACUGUAGCAGUUCUUUCAUGUUUAAAGAAAGCAUAACUAAUUCCCCAGCUGUUACAU